UACGGAGGAUCCGAGCGUUAUCCGGAUUUAUUGGGUUUAAAGGGUGCGCAGGCGGGGGAUUAAGUCGGCGGUGAAAUUUUGCAGCUCAACCGUAAAAGUGCCUUCGAAACUGGUUUCCUUGAGUGUAGAUGAAGUAGGCGGAAUUUGUGGUGUAGCGGUGAAAUGCAUAGAUAUCACGAGGAACUCCGAUUGCGCAGGCAGCUUACUAAACUACUACUGACGCUCAGGCACGAAGGCGUGGGGAUCAAACAGGAUUAGAUACCCCGGUAGUCUCUGA
rnacentral:rRNA from 1 species